AACUGGUUGAUCCUGCCAGUAGUCACAUGCUUGUCUCAGAGAUUAGGCCAUGCAUGUCUAAGUACAUACCUUAAAAAGGUGAGACCGCGAAUCGCUCAUUAAAUCAGCUAUGAUUCCUUAGAUCGUAAAUGCUACAUGGAUAACUGUAGUGAUUCUAAAGCUAAUACAUGCCAUGAAUCCCUGACUCGCAAGGGGACGGGCGCAUUUAUUAGAACAGAACCAGUCGGGUGCGGCUUCGGCUGUGUCUGUUACAUUCUGUGAUGACUCUGGAUAACUUUACUGAUCGCAGUCGGCCUUGUGUUGGCGACGGAUCUUUCAAAUAUCUGCCCUACCAAUUUGUUGGUAGGUGAUAUGCCUACCAUGAUAAUAACGGGUAACAGGGAAUCAGGGUUCGAUUCCGGAGAGGGAGCCUGGGAAAUGGCCACCCCAUCCAAGGACGGCAUCAGGCGCGAAAAUUACCUACUCCUGGCAAGGGGAGGUAGCGACGAAAAAUACGUAUACGGGACUCAAUUGAGGCGCCGUAAUUCGAAUGAGUGCAAUUUAAGUCUUUUAACGAGGACCAAUUGGAGGGCAAGUCUGGUGCCAGCAGCCGCGAUAACUCCAGCUCCAAAAACGUAUAUUAAAGUUGCUGCAGUUAAAAAGCUCGUAGUUGGAUCUGGGUCGUGUGAUCGCAUGCCGUUGUUCGUUCACGGUUUUGAUUACAAUCAGGACCAGAGUUCAGCUCGGUGUAGUGGCUGUGCAGCCUUUCAGCCGUGUCUGUGUUAAACGGGUGUCGAGAGCGGACGGCAUCUUUACUUUGAACAAAUUUGAGUGCUCAAAGCAGGUCUGUGUGUCUGAAAAUUCUUACGUGGAAUGAUGAAACAGGACUUCGGUUCUAUUUUGUUGGUUUUCGGAUGCGAAGUAAUGGUUAAGAGGGACAGACGGGGGCAUUUGUAUGGCGGUGUUACGGGUGAAAUUGUGGGAUCGCCGCCAGACAAACAACAGCGAAAGCAUUUGCCAAAAAUAUUUUCAUUGAUCAGGAGCGAAAUUCAGAUUUUUGAAAACGAUCAGAUACCGUCGUAGUUCUGACCAUAAACGAUGCCAACUGACGAUCCGCGUUGGUUCUAUAAUUAACAUCGCAGGCAGUUCCUGGGAAACCUUUAAGUCUUUGGGCUCCGGGGGAGUAUGGUUGCAAAGCUAGAACCUUAAGGAAUUGACGGAAGGGAACCACCAGGAGUGGAGCCUGCGGUCUAACUCGACUCAACACAGGUGAACCUGUGGAAGGAUCAUUAACAUGACCCAAAAAUAUUUAAUGAAGCAUACACCUGGCUUCGUGUUGGACUGCAUGUAUCCUGGCUUAGUGGUAUUUACCCUAGGCUUCAGUGGUCAAUGGUUGUACAUACAAGAACUAUGAACUGGACAAUUAUUCAAGUUAUUUGGACGUUGUUUAUUAUGUUUAAUAUUUAGUCAAAGCUAAAGGUAUACAAGUUCAGGUCAUAAAUUCACCGUAGUUACUAAAUCUUCAUUUUAUUUCAGUGUAGAUUAAUUACUAGGUUCGCUCAUAUUUAUACCUUCAUUUUUUUCGUUAUGAUAAUUCUUGUUAAUUGAACGCUGUACUCGGAUCUUAAGCUAGUCUCGUAACCCCUAAGGUAGAACUACAUAGCGACUUCAGCACGAGAGAAAAGGCGCAAAAUAUGCGAAAGGCACUUUACUCCAAAGGUUCAUUUAUGUACAGAAAAUAUAGGGUUUUUAUAGUAUUUUAGAAGUCCUUGGGUUUUCCUGAAAAUUCUAGUAUGCUACUAAAAAUAGUCCCGACCGUAGCUGCUACCUUGACGUGGUGGUCGGGCUUGCCUAUCAUGAUGAUCCAACCGAUCUAUAUUGGCUGGAACAUGUGUCCCUGUAGGUUCUACCAUGCUAGGCAGGCCGAUUGGAGAACGGUAAGACUAAAAGCAGCAACUCAAGGUCUGAGGGUGAAGUCGUACUGCUGACUGUAG
rnacentral:rRNA from 1 species